GAUCCNGGCUCAGGACGAACGCMGGCGGCGUGCUUAACACAUGCAAGUCGAACGGUGAAGCCCAGCUUGCUGGGUGGAUCAGUGGCGAACGGGUGAGUAACACGUGAGCAACCUGCCCUCCACUUCGGGAUAAGCCUUGGAAACGGGGUCUAAUACCGGAUAUGAGUGCCUGACGCAUGUCGGGUGCUGGAAAGUUUUUCGGUGGGGGAUGGGCUCGCGGCCUAUCAGCUUGUUGGUGGGGUAGUGGCCUACCAAGGCGUCGACGGGUAGCCGGCCUGAGAGGGCGACCGGCCACACUGGGACUGAGACACGGCCCAGACUCUACGGGAGGCAGCAGUGGGGAAUAUUGCACAAUGGGCGAAAGCCUGAUGCAGCGACGCCGCGUGAGGGAUGACGGCUUCGGGUUGUAAACCUCUUUCAGCAGGGAAGAAGGCCNNCGGGUGGACGGUACCUGCAGAAGAAGCGCCGGCUAACUACGUGCCAGCAGCCGCGGUAAUACGUAGGGCGCAAGCGUUGUCCGGAAUUAUUGGGCGUAAAGAGCUCGUAGGCGGUNUGUCGCGUCUGGUGUGAAAACCUCAGGCUCAACCUGGGGCGUGCAUCGGGUACGGGCAGACUAGAGUGCGGUAGGGGAGACUGGAAUUCCUGGUGUAGCG
rnacentral:rRNA from 1 species